GGCCGGAUGGUCUAGGGGUAUUUCUCGCUUCGGGUGCGAGAGGUCCCGGGUUCGAAUCCCGGUUCGGCCC
rnacentral:tRNA from 1 species